rnacentral:rRNA from 1 species
GUAGGCGAGCGAGCGUUGUCCGGAUUUACUGGGCGUAAAGGGCGCGUASSCGGUCUGUUAAGUAUGAAGUGAAAUCUCCAGGGCUCAACCCGGAAACCGCUUUGUAAACUGGCAGACUGGAGGAAGGCAGAGGUGAGUGGAAUUCCCGGUGUAGCGGUGACAUGCAUUGAUAUCGGGAGGAACACCCAUGGCGAAGGCAGCUCACUGGGCCUUUCCUGACGCUGAGGCGCGAAAGCGUGGGUAGCAAACAGAAUUAGAUACUCUGGUAGUCCACGCCCUAAACGAUGGAUGCUAGGCGUGAGGGGUAUCGACCCCCCUUGUGCCGCAGCUAACGCAUUAAGCAUCCCGCCUGGGGAGUACGGCCGCAAGGUUG